UUCUAAAUCUGUCAUUGUUUUAUGAUUUGAUAAAGCUAAUUGAUGUGUAUGAACCUUUAUAAUAGGAUCAAAUAGAGGAAGCAGAACGAAAUGGUGAAGAAGUUGCUAUCAGUGGUGAAAGAAGUGAAACCUCCAAAGACAAUGAAAAGGAUGAAGAAGUAAAUGAAGAUGCAUCCAAAGAACCCGAGCAAGUUGCUGACAGUGGUGAAGAAAGUGAAACCUCCAAAGACGAUGAAAAGGAUGAAGAAGUAAAUGAAGAUGCAUCCAAAGAGCCCGAGCAAGUUAUAGAGAAGAAGCAAGGAAAAAGAAAGAAGGUACGAAAUAUUUAAAAUCUGUUUACAAAAGUUUAUAAAAUUAUCUAAAGACACUAAAAAUUCUUUUUUUUUUAAAUAGGAUCGGAUGGAAGAGGUUGAAGAAGUAAAUGAAGAUACAACCAACAUUUGCAAGGAAGUUAAGAAUAAGAAACCAAGAAAAGAGAAAAAGGUAACAACUUUUAUAAGCUCUAUUUACAAUGUGGUUUAAAAUGAAAUGUGUUUUGGGUUACUGCUUUUUGUUAAAUAGAGGAACACCGAUGAGGAACCUGUCGGCGAUGCUAGCACCUCCAAAUCCAAAAAACAAAAAAAUACAACCUACGGAUGUUUCUGCUGAUGAUGUUAUAGAAGGUGUAUUGGAAGAUCUCACUCUCAAGGAACAAGAAGAAGAAGAACAAGUGGAUGAUGAAGCCCAGAAGCCAGUGCAAGUUGAACAGAAGAAACGAGGAAGACCAGCAGGAAGAAAGGUAAAUAAA